AGUGAAGUGCCUGAAAAAGGAUUAUUUUGAUAGAAUUGGCCAUGUGGACCCCCCGCCCCACCUUCACUA
rnacentral:tRNA from 1 species